rnacentral:tRNA from 1 species
GUAAAAUGGCCGAUUAAGGUGAUAAAUUGUAAAUUUAUUAAUGAAUUAAACAUUCUUUUACU